rnacentral:rRNA from 1 species
CGUCGACAUAAAACAACUGACUCAGAACUGAAGCGGACAAGGGGAAUCCGACUAGUUUAAUAAAAACAUAGCUUGUGAUGGCCUGAAAAGGUGUUGACACAAAGUGAUUUCUGCCCAGUGCUUUGAACGUGAAUAUGAAGUAAUUUGUAGAAGCUCAGGUAAACGGCGGGAGUAACUAUGACUCUCUUAAGGUAGCCAAAUGCCUCGUCAUCUAAUUAGUGACGCGCAUGAAUGGAUCAAUGAGAUUCCCACUGUCCCUAUUUACUAUUUAGCGAACCCACAGUCAAGGGAACGGGCUUGAAAUAAUCAGCGGGGAAAGAAGACCCUGUUGAGCUUGACUCUAGUCCGACUUUGUGAAAUGACUAACGAAGUUUAGCCUUAGGUGGGAGCCAACGCGCCAAUGAAAACCACUAUUUGUUACGUCAUUUUACUUACUCCGUAAAGAAGUGAUCGGUUUACCGAUUCUAGAACUAAGGGUAGUUUACUGCCUGAGCUUUGCGGAAGACACGGUCAGGUGGGGG